rnacentral:rRNA from 1 species
AGAGUUUGAUCAUGGCUCAGAUUGAACGCUGGCGGCAGGCUUAACACAUGCAAGUCGAGCGGUAACAGGGGUAGCUUGCUACCCGCUGACGAGCGGCGGACGGGUGAGUAAUGCUUAGGAAUCUGCCCAGUAGUGGGGGGAUAGCCCGGGGAAACCCGGAUUAAUACCGCAUACGGUCCUACGGGGAGAAAGCAGGGGGAUCUUCGGGACCUUGCGCUAUUGGAUGAGCCUAAGUCGGAUUAGCUAGUUGGUGGGGUAAAGGCCUACCAAGGCGACGAUCCGUAGCUGGUCUGAGAGGAUAAUCAGCCACAUCGGGACUGAGACACGGCCCGAACUCCUACGGGAGGCAGCAGUGGGGAAUAUUGGACAAUGGGGGCAACCCUGAUCCAGCCAUGCCGCGUGUGUGAAGAAGGCUUUCGGGUUGUAAAGCACUUUCAGUAGGGAGGAAAACCUUAUGGUUAAUACCCAUGAGGCUUGACGUUACCUACAGAAGAAGCACCGGCUAACUCCGUGCCAGCAGCCGCGGUAAUACGGAGGGUGCAAGCGUUAAUCGGAAUUACUGGGCGUAAAGCGCGCGUAGGUGGUUUGGUAAGCGAGAUGUGAAAGCCCCGGGCUUAACCUGGGAACGGCAUUUCGAACUGUCAGACUAGAGUGUGGUAGAGGGUAGUGGAAUUUCCUGUGUAGCGGUGAAAUGCGUAGAUAUAGGAAGGAACACCAGUGGCGAAGGCGGCUACCUGGACCAACACUGACA